rnacentral:rRNA from 1 species
CCUACGGGAGGCAGCAGUGGGGGAUAUUGCACAAUGGGGGAAACCCUGAUGCAGCGACGCCGCGUGGGCGAAGAAGUAUUUCGGUAUGUAAAGCCCUAUCAGCAGGGAAGAAGAAAUGACGGUACCUGAGUAAGAAGCACCGGCUAAAUACGUGCCAGCAGCCGCGGUAAUACGUAUGGUGCAAGCGUUAUCCGGAUUUACUGGGUGUAAAGGGAGCGCAGGCGGCACGGCAAGCCUGAUGUGAAAGCCCGGGGCCCAACCGCGGGACUGCAUUGGGAACUACCGGGCUGGAGUGCCGGAGAGGUAGGCGGAAUGCCUAGUGUAGCGGUGAAAUGCGUAGAUAUUAGGAGGAACACCAGUGGCGAAGGCGGCCUACUGGACGGUGACUGACGCUGAGGCUCGAAAGCGUGGGGAGCAAACAGGAUUAGAUACCCCAGUAGUC